GAGGAUCACACUGUCUCCCCUCUCUAAUCAGUGAAACUGAUCUCUCCGUGAAGAAGCGGAGAUUUAAUUAUAAGACGAGAAGACCCCAUGGAGCUUUAAACCCGAUAGCACCCCUAUUUAACUUAACCUACACAUCACUUGGGCCAUGUCUACUCGGCUUUAGGUUGGGGUGACCGCGGAGUACAAAAUAACCUCCACGAAGAAUGGACUUAACUCCUUAUUUAAGAGACACACCUCUAAGAAUUAGUAUACUAAUAUUAAAUGAUCCGGUAUUUUAACCGAUCAACGAACCAAGUUACCCUGGGGAUAACAGCGCA
rnacentral:rRNA from 1 species